AGCUGUGGUAGCUCACCCACACUGCAAUCCAUCUGCUGACUCAACUUGCUAGUAUCGGGCAGCAGCCAGGACCACAGCUCCUCCAGCUCCUUUGUGACCUUUUCCUUCAGCUUCUUCAAAUACUGGGUUAGACACCUGCCUGGAAUAUAGUGAGUGUUAGGAUAAAGUAAACAUAGACCAGAGGAAGAAGUCAAAUACGCAUUUGCCUCAGGUGAGUAGAGGGAUGACUUCUAGUUCUAUAUUUGUCCUGUACCUGUGAAGAUAAGCUGUUGAUUUAUAUUCUCAGGGUGAAAUUCAGUACAACUUCAUUUUACAGUAAGGAUCUUGGGGCCCGCAGGAGAUUUUCUGUGAGAAAAUUGUAAGAGAGGGCCCCUGAGAAGGUAUGUGCCUUCUAUCUUUGCAGUUAUCUAUUUAGGAACAAAAUGGGAAGCAGUUGUGUGUGACGCAGUUCCCAAGCUUAACUUUUCCCUUUGGCAUCGUGAGUUGGGGGUCCUGAGAUUUUAUUUUACUUUCACAACUGGAACAGAUUUUAAAAACUUUAAAAAACAAAAAUAUGUCAGUGUCCAAAAAGUAUUAAUGCAUUACUUUUUCUUAUUUUUGUAUUGUUUAUUUUAUUUUUUAACAUUUUUAUUGACAUGAAUAUAUAGGCCAUUUUCAUUAUUUGUUUGAUUUCAUGACUAUUACCAAAAAAAUUUUGUCAUAUAGAGGAGGGAAGUAUUAAAAAGGGAUCUCUGACAUACACUUGGUAUAGGGUCCUGGUACCAAUUGUGAAAAGUAAACCCUUUCUUAUAAUCCAAAGUCACUUGGCAAAGUUUCUUCAUCUCAGGUGUCCAUUUUCUACUCACAAGGUGGUUAAACAAAAAAAGUAUAGAAAUUGGGAUCUAUCAGCAGACCUGUCCAGUUUCUAACUUGGUAAACUCUAAUUAAAUUACAGUGUUAAGCUUUACUUUUUUUUCAAAAGAAUUAGAGAAAAUGCAACUUAGAACAAUGGGCUUCAAACUAGAAUGUGCCUAUGUCUGAGUGUUCUCCUGCACAGAGAAUUUUAAGGAAAUAAAUGUUUCCAUCCUCUUUUUACAAUGGUUCUUCUCCCAUAUAUAGAAAAGUAUUAACUUGUCACCCAUCACAAAUCUUAACACAGAAUGCAUACUGGUGUGUAACAACCUCAGGGCUCCUAACAUAGGAAUACAAAUUGUAUUUUGCUUCAGGGGAAGACUCCUUUAAAAAUUAAUCAAAGCUCCUAAAAUCUUGUCUUGGCUUGUCAUACACAUAUUUGUAGCUAGAGUGAAGUUCUGCGUUAGACACAGGGUAUUUGGCCCUUGCUUAAGACUGAAUUGACAAAGUCUUAAGUAGAAUAAUGAAAGUUGUUAUUUUAAAUGUAACUAGACUAUUUGUUAAGGCUUCCACAUUUUGGGUUAUUUGAAUAUAAUCCACAGAUAAAAAUUUAAAUGAUUUCUACUGGUGUAUUUUAGUCAAUAAAGCAGUUAAAAUUUCAUGAAAAUAUAUGAAAUGUUUAUUCCUAUUACAGUAAAUCCUUAUCCUAUUUUAUCUCAUAAAUAUAAUGAUAUAUAAUACUUAUGUUUGUGAUAAUAUAAUUUGAUAUAAAAUACAAUAUUUUUCACCUCCUAAAAAUAAUAAAUAAAUAUACUUAGGGUUAUGGCUAAAAAUGUAGACAUAUGCAAGUUAAAUACACAGUUUUUCAAAUUUUUUAUAUAGCACAUUAACUAAAAUAUUUGAAGAUCAUUGGCUCUGAGAACUAGAAAAUAGCUUGAGUACUUUUCCUGAUCUGUCAUUAAUUUGCUGAGCAAUGCUGAGUAUAAUGUUUAAAGUGGGAAUCCAAAUUAUCUUUCUGUAAAAUUAUACUUUGGGAGCUGGAGAUACCUUUCAUGCCUGUAAACUGAUAUUGUCUUAAUUUUUUGUUCCCUAAGGAAGAAUAAUUUUCUUAUAAUUAAGAAUUUUCCUGUUCUAUCAUUAUAGCCUCUAAAAUAUUAAAUCUUCUUUUGUUGGUCUGGAUACUUAUAUCUAACUGAACUAGGAUAUAUUAUCUUUUUUUCAAUGUCAUCUAACACAAAAGCUGUAAUCAUUGAUUUGAGAUUUGAGCUAUGCAAAAUGGAUUAGGUUUCCAUACCCAAAAUUAUAAAAGUACUUAGAUCAUAGGCUAUUAAGUAUUUUUAGACUUCUUUUUCUUUUUAAUUUAGCUGUUUACAGUUACAACUUUCCCUAUAAGCACUGUUUUAGCUGCAUCUCAAAAGUUUGGUAUGUUGUGUCUUCAUUUUCAUUCAUCUCAAAGUAUUUUCUAUUUUUUUUGUGAUUUCUUCUUUGACUUCUUUGUUAUUUAGGUGUGCAUUGUUUAAUAUUUACAUAUUUGUGAAUAUCCCAAAUUAAUUUUGAUUAUUGACCUCUAAUUUUAUUCUAUUGUGAUUGAUAAACAUAUUUGAAUAAUUUAAAAUAUUUUCCACCUACUUUACCUUGUAUAUGGCCUUGUAUAUGGUCCAUUCUAAGAGAAUGUGCCAUGUGCACAUGAGAAGAAUGCAUAUUUUGCUAUUGUUGAGUAGAGUGUUCUAAGGAUGUUUGCAAAGUCUAGUAGGUUUAUAAAGAUGUUUAAGUCUUCUGUGUCUUCUAUUUCCUUGUUUAUUCUCUGUCAAGUUGUUCUAUUGAUUACUAAAAGUGGGGUAUUGAAAAAUCUAACUAUAUAGGUUAACUUAUAUCUCCUGAUAGAUUGAUCAUUUAUUCAACAUAAAAUGACAAUUUUUUAUAUCAGGUAACAUAUAUUACUUUAAAGUCUAUGUUGUCUGAGAUUAGGAUAUCUACUCUAGCUUUCUGAAGGUUGACAUACCUUUUUCCAUUCUUUUACUUUUAACCCAUUUGCAUCUUCAAAUCUAAAUUGUGUCUCCUGCACACAACAUAUAGCUGGAUCUUUCUAAAAAAAUCCAUUCUGAUAACCUUUGCCUUUCAAUUGGAUUGUCUAAUCCAUUCUAAUUUAAUUUCAUUAGUAAUAUAGUUAGAUUUGCAUCUGCCGUUUUACUUUUUGUUUUCUCUAUGUCUUAUGCCUUUUGUCCUAAGUAUACCUUGGCUUGUGGCAAAACCUUAUCAAUUUCUGCUUCUAUUUCACAUGAAUUUUCCCUGCUGUAUCUCUGUGUGUUCUCUCUUCUCCUUAUAAGAACUUCAGUCAUUGGAUUUAGGGCUCAUCCUAGUGCAGUAUAACCUCAACUUAUGUAAUUAUAUUUGUAAUGACCCAAUUUUAAAAUAUGAUCAUUCUGAGGUUCCAGUAGACUUGAAUUUGAGGAGAUACUAUUUAAAUGUUUCUUUUUUAAAAGAAAAGUUUGCCUUUUAAGAUAAAUAUUUUUUCACCAGUUAUGGUUGGUUUUGAAGGGGAUAGAGUUUAUGGACUUCCUCACUUUGCCAUUCUGGAAGUAAUAUCUACAUUUUAUUUCAGUCAAGGAUAACUGCAACCAAUCUCUGUUUUUGUUAGAACACAUGCUACUUAAAACAGUAUGAAGCAAUAGUAUUGAAAAUCAUUUUUUGGGGGGAAAGGAUUGAUUUGUUUCGACUGUUAGGACCCUUGAUACAUAUCUUGAGUUCUUGAAAUAUUGACAAUCAUACAAACGGGCUAUAACAUCUAUUAUAUAUUGAACACCUGUUCUAGAAGUCCCCCAGGAAUGAAACACAAUGGAGUACUUAUUACCUUAUCUAAUGUAACAACAAAUAUGUGAAGUAGAUGAUAUUAUCUCAUUUUAUAAAUAUGAAAAUUAACACUAAGAAGGCUGAGUGACUUCCCUAAUAGCUAAGUGGUGAGUCUUAAGAAGCCCUCCCUUCCUCAGCAAAAAUCCUAUGUAUGGUAUUUCAUGCUUCACCACAGGCAAUUACAAAGCAUUGUCUGGAAGCCUAGUGGUGGAAAGUUGUCCUCCUCUUAGCAGAUUUGGUGUACAGUCAAUGGACUGCAGGUUUCUGGAAUGAGUUGCAGUCAAGGACUCAAGACACUGGCAGUAGAGCAUUGAAUCAAGUGUAACCCUUUUCUAAGCUCAGGGCUCUUUGCAGCCGCACUGAUCACAGACCCGUGGAGCUGGCCUUGCCUCUACUACAUUAAGUAGCUCAUCAUAUGUACACCAGAACAUUUUAUAUCGUUAUGUGUUUGCAAAGUAGUUCCCUCUUCCAUUUCUUCUUCAUCUCCACUUAGAAAGCUGUAAUCAUCUUUUAAUACCCAGAUUUCCAUAACACCCAAGAUGGAGACUAUUAAUCUGUUCUGUGGGAUUUCAGAGCCCUUGCACAUUGUUUUAUUUUGUUGUGCAAUUACCAUAUUGCACUAUGAUUGUUGAUGUUUCUCUUUUCUGCUAAUUAAUGAACUUCUAAUAUGCAGGGAUCAAGACUUUACAUCUGGCUGGGCACAGUGGCUCACAUCUAUAAUUUCAGCACUUUGGGAGGCUGAGGCAGGUGGAUCGCUUCAGCCUAGGAGUUUGAGAAUAGUCUGGGCAAUGUAGUGAAACCCCCAUCUCUUUUACAUCUAUUUAAUGAUAGGAUUUGGGAUGUUACCUAGAAUAUGAUUGUGGAAGGAAGGAAGAAAAGAUGGAAAAUAAGUGAAAGAAGAAAUUAAUGAAUUCUUUGCUCCCUUAAAUUUGUGCUUUUGAGUGCAAUUUAAGUGCAAUUUAAUUCAGUGGUUUUACAUAUGAUAAGUUCCACAUGAGAAAACUCUUUGUCAGUCAUCCAAGAAAGAUUAUACUAGCAAAUUUAUAGGAACUAAUUAUUUUUAAAAAAGUAAUUUUUACCUGUUCAAAUUACAAAAUGUCACAGCUGGGAACUCCAUCUUUUCCACAUAUUGAACCUCAAUGGACGUUGUGGUUGGCCAUGUGAAGUAGUUGAGCAAGCGAAUGUAGAUCUGCCAUGUCACAAGUGAGACUGAGCCCAGAACCACCACCAACCAGAGCACCCUGCGAAUUUUGCUCCGGUUCUGAACAAUAUUGUGUAUCCCAUGAAAGGAAGUGGAGAUGGCAAAGUCAUGGUCAAACUUCUUUCGCUCAGUGGGAGAUGGCAGUGGUUUCUUUGAAAGGCAAAGCUUUAUCUUUUCUAAGAGUCCUUAAGGUUUUGCCCAUAAAAUGAUUAAACAAAAAAAAGUAAUUAGGAAACCUUAAUGCUAUCCGUAAAAAAACACAACUCACAUAAUUUAAAGAGGUGACUCUUUUUACUUGUAAUUCAUAGAAACUAAAAAUUCAUCUUUUGUUGCAUGAUUUAUUCAGGAAUCAAGAAGUGUAAGUGUUGGCUACAUGGGUUUAUUGAGAAGAUGCUAAUGCUAUUCAUAGAACGGCUAUUAUUAAUGUAAAUGUGUUAGUGGUAUGGUAUUAAUAGGUGACUUCCAGCUUUAAAACCAAGUUGGUUACAACAAUUCAUAAACUUUAAAUAUUAACUCUUAUUUUUAAAAUGCUCUUUCUCUCUGAAAGUCCUUUAGAAGUCAUGAACAAAAUGAGGCUGAUUCCUCUGACAGUCCUAAGUAUGGCUAAAAGUAAUCUGUUCUUAACUAAUGUUUGUCCUAUGGUGGUAUAAUUUAUGGUAAAUGUAACUUUCAUUCUCGUAUUCUUUAAUGUACAACUAUUUUAUAUUUUGUUGGUUGUUUAGUCAGAAUGUUCAGUGUUCAGUUGUAGUAUUAGUUAAGUAAUCUAUUUUCUACCUCUUCAUGGAAUUAAUUCAUCAUUUCAAGUCUAUCAGGAAUCAAUCAAUAAUAUUUAUUGAUAUUCAUUGGUAAGAACCAGGGAAGGUAACACUAAAUUUUUUUGGCAAUAUAUGAUAUGUUGACAAUUUUAUUUUGGUUAAAUUUCUUUCCAUUUGUUCAUAGGAGAAGAGGCAAUGAAUCCCUUUGUGGAGGGAAAGGUUCAAUAUAGUUAAGAGCAUGAGAUGGGCUUCACAAUGGAAGAUCAGGCUUCCGGUCCAUUCCUCGCCUCUUAUAACCUGCACAACUUUAGCCAAGUUUCUUAGUCUUAUACCUUUUCUGUCAAAUGGCAGCAAUGGUAUCUGCCUUAUGAAUUUGUUGUAUUAAAUUUGUUGAUAAUACCUGGAGAGAGCUUAGCACAUUAUCUAGAUCAUAAUAAGUACUCAAGGGUAUUAGCUAUUUUUAUUAUUCUGCUAAUGUAGUGGUGAUGUGGUAAAUAGUAAAAUAUUCAGGAAUUUUAAAAAGCUUUAAAAGUAUCUUAAAAAAUUAGUUCUUAAUGGCUUUAUAUAUGUUCAUAAUUAGGUGAAUUAACUUUUAUAUCCUUUGCCAAAAUAAUACUUUUGGAAUAUAGGUAUUCAACUAUCCAGCAUUAAUUUACUUACAAGAUGUUUCAAGCUUCAUUUACUAUUAAAUCAUUAUUUAAUACAACAUAAAUAACCAAUCAAUUAGCUAAGCUUUUUAUUCAGUUAUAGGACAUAUGCUAUAAAAAGGUGUCUAUUAACAUUUUCUAAGGGAGUCCAUUUCAUUCACUUACAAAUUAUAUUAUUAUUAUUUUACAAAUUAUAUUAUGAUUAUUAUUCACUAAGCAGGAUAGCUUGUAUUAAUAUGAUUAGCUUGAAGUUGGACUAAAAUCUUAGAAUAGCACCGUUAUUAAUGUUGUUUUUAGUAUAAAAUUAAUGAACAUGUAUCAAGUAACUGGCAUAAUCCCAGAGAAAAAUCAGAAACAAGAAAAAAGUUAUUGUUACUAAUUAGCAAAAUAUAUUUAAAUAUGCUCUUUUGUGUAUUCUUUAGUCAUGACUUGCAAACAUAUGCGAAGAAUUUACUCUGAUAAAAGAACAACUCAGUCUCUGGAUAACUUGUACCAUUCCUAGAAUAGGGAUCAAAACUAUUAGAAGGGGAAGACUAAUGUAGUAACUAGUUACUGACAAGCAAAGUGUGGCUAGUUGCAAGCAUUACCCCAAAACAUUUAACUUUCAAGUUUGCCUGUCAAAAAUCAGCCCAUUUAAUAUACAUCUAAUCCUUGACAAUUGGUUUGGCCUUUCUGGAGUAAUACCAACUAUUUUCUAGUGUUUUAAUAGAGUUUUUUUUAUUAUUGUUUUAGGUAAAUGUAUGACUGUCAGGAAGAUUAAAAUUGGUUGAAUAAAUGGCCCACUAGUUUGCAAAGCAGAAACUUCUUACUCUCCUGACUGGAGUAUAUACAGUGUCAUUAUGACAACUAGACCUUGCAUUGAGUGCUGAUCAACAUAGAAGCAUUUUGAGGAACAUCAAAUCAGCUUUGUUACAUUUAAAAAAUAAAACCUGCAGGCCCAGGAUAAAUAGAAACCAAAAGAAAUAAAACAAAACAAAGAAACAAAAUCAGAUUCUGGCAUAUAGUAAUAUUUUAAAACUAUUUUUGAGUCCCUCAUACAAAUAACUUUUUUUCUAAGUAAAACUAUUCAUUUUUAAAACUUAUAUUACUUAUAUUGUGUUCAAGUAACAUUGGAAAUCAAAUUUCCCAAAUGAAGAAAAAAAAUCUCUCUUUUCUUACUUCUGGCCUCUAGAAAUGAAAAAUAUUACUGCUCUGAGGAGUUCACUCUUUACUCACCGUUCUCAGCAUAUACUUUUGAUUUUUCUGUCUGCUCCAUUUGUGAUUUCAGUUAAGCAAGAGUCCUCAGGGUAACCCAAUUUUCAUCAAUAACAGUAUUCAUUUUGUGCCCUUUAUAUAAAAUACAGCAGUUGAGGUUGUAAAACAUGGAAGCAAUUUAAAUGUUUGUGUUGCUAUGUUUUGCCUCAUAAAGCACAUAAUCUGAAAACCAAAAAUGUUGACAGAACCAGGUAUGGGCAUUUAUGGACUGAUGAGAAGCUAACCCAGAGUGAUUUCAUGAGUGAAAAGCAAAAAGUAUCAUUAGGAAACCAUUUUCUCACAGUUAAAGGGACACUUCCUAUCAAAUAUGUGUAGUUAAGCAGCAGCCCCUGACCAGGCUAGUUGACACUCCAAUGACUCACCCGGGAACGUCUUCUUAGCUUUUCUUUUUACCUUUGUCUUUAUUCAACUUCAAAUCAAAACGCAGCUGGAAUAAAUUUUUUUUUAUGGGAAAGGUGUCUUCCCUUGUCGGUGUUUCUUUCUUAGUAACAGAAGCUGUUUCUAACAGAAAUAAUAGCCAAUAAACAUGACAAAAUAAAACACCAAAAAAUAUCUGCUCAAGAAUAAAUGAUUACUGAAAACAAACAACUUACUAAAACAUAAAGUCUGAUUAUUUUUUAUAUGAACACUUUUGGAAAAUUGUUAGAAUUUAUUAUAUUGAAUAAUAAAUGGAAGAAUGUGCA